AGGACGAACGCUGGCGGCGUGCUUAACACAUGCAAGUCGAACGAGGUGCUUGCACCUAGUGGCGAACGGGUGAGUAACACGUGAGCAACCUGCCCUUGGCUCUGGGAUAGCCUCCGGAAACGGGGAUUAAUACCGGACAUGACCUUGGUCUGCAUGGACUGAGGUGGAAAGUUUUUCGGCCAGGGAUGGGCUCGCGGCCUAUCAGCUUGUUGGGGGGUACGGCCCACCAAGGCGACGACGGGUA
rnacentral:rRNA from 1 species